ensembl:lncRNA
CAAGUGUGGAGCCAAACGACAACAAGAUUCUCAGAGGGCGGAGCCAGAGAGCAGUGACUGGUCAGACCAUAGAUAAUGUGGAAGACAGCGCGCUAGCGGAGCUAGUCUAUGUAUAUCGAUGGUCAGCACGUCUGGUAGCAUCUCUGGCUGCUGUUGACCUUGUUUUUGGAGUAAAACACGGUGGAAGCUGAAUUAGUGAGGAUGACUCCUGCUCCUGUCAUCUCUAAGCUCCUCCCACAUCUUUACCUGCACAUGAGGAAAAUCACUCCUGUAGAAUGCAGAUGUUCAGAGGGAGAUGAUGCCACAUCUGGUCCAGCUGAUGGAAGGUCUUGAAGUUCUCUGACUGGCCUCGACUGAAGAUGGUCGUCUCACUGGAUUUAAGAGAUGCACAAUGAGGGACGUCUGCAGCGACUGAGAAAGAGUCUCACCACAUCCUGACAUGAGGAAAAAGACUUUUUUGAAGACUACAAUGAGAAAAACUAUCAGACAGCAGACGGCUGCAUUCAAGGUGAGCUCUGAACAUUUAAUCUGGAACAGGAAUUCAAUAACGGCAGCAUGAGCUUCAUUUCAGUCUGUAGCUGCUGAAUUCAUGGAUGAAUCAUCUGGCACUAGAGAGGAAGACCAUCAAACAUCCACAUCAGCUGAUGGAGGUCCAAGAGUCUCACCAAACAAACAACCUACAGAGUGAAGACCUCAAAUCUGAUUGGACGGCCUCCUAUUCAGCCACAUGUGUGAACAAAUGCCUCUAAGCUGAUUUGUUUUCUAAAAUAAAUCUAGUUUGAGUCCUAAUCUAUGCCUGUGUGUUUGCUUCUUUAUGCUGCUGUUAACAGUUUAGGCUGUUAGAUUGUUCCAGAUAAGACAAGUACAAGAUUCUUCAGAGCCGUUCUACCACGAGCCUGACAGGAAGAACUCCAACAGCUACUGAAUGUUCCUGUGGUCCCCUCAAGGCUACAGGAGGAGUCCUACGAGGACGAGCCGGUCCACCUGAUGGUGGCCAGUUGCUGCGGUUCAAAGCCAACACCGACUACGUGGACUUCUACUGGACCACACGGAGGCCUUCAAACCGGACCAACAAGUUCACCGACUCCCCGACUCGUGGGUCUGAGGACGCCGCCGAGCCUCGGUCCAGCCGGCCUCCUGUCUGUGGGUGUUUGAGUGCUGAGAGGCCUCCGUUGACUCGUCCCGCCUGCCG